AUUGAACGCUGGCGGCAUGCUUUACACAUGCAAGUCGAACGGCGGCGCGGGCUUCGGCCUGGCGGCGAGUGGCGAACGGGUGAGUAAUACAUCGGAACGUGCCCAGUAGUGGGGGAUAGCUCGGCGAAAGCCGGAUUAAUACCGCAUACGACCUGAGGGUGAAAGCGGGGGAUCUUCGGACCUCGCGCUAUUGGAGCGGCCGAUGGCAGAUUAGCUAGUUGGUGGGGUAAAGGCCUACCAAGGCGACGAUCUGUAGCUGGUCUGAGAGGACGACCAGCCACACUGGGACUGAGACACGGCCCAGACUCCUACGGGAGGCAGCAGUGGGGAAUUUUGGACAAAGGGCGAAAGCCUGAUCCAGCAAUGCCGCGUGUGUGAUGAAGGCCUUCGGGUUGUAAAGCACUUUUGGCGGGAACGAAAAGGACUGUGCCAAUACCACGGUUCGAUGACGGUACCCGCAGAAUAAGCACCGGCUAACUACGUG
rnacentral:rRNA from 1 species